UACGUAGGGGGCAAGCGUUGUCCGGAAUUAUUGGGCGUAAAGCGUGCGCAGGCGGUUGUGCAAGACAGAGGUGAAAUCCCCGGGCUUAACCUGGGAAUGGCCUUUGUGACUGCACGGCUAGAGUGUGUCAGAGGGGGGUAGAAUUCCACGUGUAGCAGUGAAAUGCGUAGAGAUGUGGAGGAAUACCGAUGGCGAAGGCAGCCCCCUGGGAUAACACUGACGCUCAGGCACGAAAGCGUGGGGAGCAAACAGG
rnacentral:rRNA from 1 species